GACGAACCGUGCGAACGUUAUUCGGAAUCACUGGGCUUAAAGCGUGCGCAGGCGGUUUUGUAAGUCUGUCGUGAAAUCCCCGGGCUCAACCUGGGAAUGGCGAUGGAGACUGCAAGGCUAGAGUUUGGCAGAGGGGGGUAGAAUUCCACGUGUAGCAGUGAAAUGCGUAGAGAUGUGGAGGAACACCGAUGGCGAAGGCAGCCCCCUGGGUCAAAACUGACGCUCAUGCACGAAAGCGUGGGGAGCAAACAGG
rnacentral:rRNA from 1 species